UUUUCGCUGUGGAUGUUUGAACUGAUUUGAAUUGCUUUAUAAAGCAAUCAAAUCAGUUCAAACAUCCAAAGCGAAAAGAAGUGUCAAGUUUAAAAAAAAGUGAAAAAAAUGGCACGAGAAUAUUCGCGAGAAUAUUUGGCUGAGAUCACGGAGGAGAAGAGCCGCGUAAUUACGGAAGGGAAACUCCUCCAGGCGACGGUGAAGGUCUUCAUCUCCAAAAUUGAAGAAUCGGAGGUGCACCCCGACGUGAAGAGGUAUCUCAUCAAGAACUGGCGCAGGAGUUUGGGGAAGAUUUUCAGAGCCCCUUAAAGAAAUAAAAAAAUAAAUCCCCCCUCCCCAAGAAAAUUGAAAAAAUAAAAUUAAUUAAACUGGAAUUUCCCCCCUUCUGCCCCCCCUUGAAAUAAAAAAAAUAAACAAUAAACAAUUA